CGGGGGCAACCCUGGCGGCGAGCGGCGAACGGGUGAGUAAUGUAUCGGAACGUACCCAGUCGUGGGGGAUAACUAUCCGAAAGGAUAGCUAAUACCGCAUACGUCCUGAGGGAGAAAGCGGGGGACCGUAAGGCCUCGCGCGAUUGGAGCGGCCGAUAUCGGAUUAGCUAGUUGGUGAGGUAAAGGCUCACCAAGGCGACGAUCCGUAGCUGGUCUGAGAGGACGACCAGCCACACUGGAACUGAGACACGGUCCAGACUCCUACGGGAGGCAGCAGUGGGGAAUUUUGGACAAUGGGGGCAACCCUGAUCCAGCCAUUCCGCGUGAGUGAAGAAGGCCUUCGGGUUGUAAAGCUCUUUCAGCAGGAACGAAACGGUGGUCCUUAAUACGGGCUACUAAUGACGGUACCUGAAGAAGAAGCACCGGCUAACUACGUGCCAGCAGCCGCGGUAAUACGUAGGGUGCGAGCGUUAAUCGGAAUUACUGGGCGUAAAGCGUGCGCAGGCGGUUCUAUAAGACAGAUGUGAAAUCCCCGGGCUUAACCUGGGAACUGCGUUUGUGACUGUAGGACUCGAGUGUGGCAGAGGGGGGUGGAAUUCCACGUGUAGCAGUGAAAUGCGUAGAGAUGUGGAGGAACACCGAUGGCGAAGGCAGCCCCCUGGGUCAACACUGACGCUCAUGCACGAAAGCGUGGGGAGCAAACAGGAUUAGAUACCCUGGUAGUCCACGCCCUAAACGAUGCG
rnacentral:rRNA from 1 species